UGAUCCUGGCUCAGGAUGAACGCUAGCGGCAGGCUUAACACAUGCAAGUCGAGGGGUAACAUUAGUGCUUGCACUAGAUGACGACCGGCGCACGGGUGCGUAACGCGUAUAGAAUCUACCUUUUACAGAGGGAUAGCCUUUAGAAAUGAAGAUUAAUAUCCCAUAGUAUUGUAGAGUGGCAUCACUUUACAAUUAAAGAUUUAUCGGUAAAAGAUGACUAUGCGUCCUAUUAGUUAGUUGGUAAGGUAACGGCUUACCAAGACUUCGAUAGGUAGGGGCCCUGAGAGGGGGAUCCCCCACACUGGUACUGAGACACGGACCAGACUCCUACGGGAGGCAGCAGUGAGGAAUAUUGGGCAAUGGAGGCAACUCUGACCCAGCCAUGCCGCGUGCAGGAAGACUGCCCUAUGGGUUGUAAACUGCUUUUAUACAGGAAGAAACACUGCUACGUGUAGCAGCUUGACGGUACUGUAAGAAUAAGGACCGGCUAACUCCGUGCCAGCAGCCGCGGUAAUACGGAGGGUCCGAGCGUUAUCCGGAAUCAUUGGGUUUAAAGGGUCCGCAGGCGGUCAAUUAAGUCAGAGGUGAAAUCCCAUAGCUUAACUAUGGAACUGCCUUUGAUACUGGUUGACUUGAGUCAUAUGGAAGUAGAUAGAAUGUGUAGUGUAGCGGUGAAAUGCAUAGAUAUUACACAGAAUACCGAUUGCGAAGGCAGUCUACUACGUAUGUACUGACGCUCAUGGACGAAAGCGUGGGGAGCGAACAGGAUUAGAUACCCUGGUAGU
rnacentral:rRNA from 1 species